rnacentral:lncRNA from 1 species
GCAGAAAACAGUCAACAAAUAAACCAAAAAACAAAAGAAAAUCUUCAAAAAACUUCAGGGCACACCGCGACACCAAACGAAAUUCAUGGCCUAUUUUUCGAUUUGUUCCCAAAUCGAAUCAAAGUUUUACACAUCAAUUGUUCUAUGCCAAGGCAGCUCAGAGAUUGAUGCCGCCGCACCCAAUGAGUUUCUGUGCAAUUUCGGCCACCAAAUGUGGCAGCUCCAGCGAAACGAAAACUGUAACGAAGCGGCAAGGCCAGAAAAGGGAAGGGAAGCUGCGACACAAUGAAUGAACAAUAAGUAAAACGGGUAAGCGGAGAUGCCUGUGCCAUGGCCAGGAGCCAAAAAGGUAUGAAAGUGGAAAAUUGUGAAAUCUGUCAACGGAAAAUAUUUGAAUAUCGACGAGGAGAGAACCCAAACUGAAGACCUACCAACGGAAGACGUUCUGCCAUGCAUUGCCAGGAUGUUUGCUGUUCGCCGCAGACGCUGACGUGACUCUGUCAGUGGCUCCCCGUACAGCCCCGUGCCGUAGUCAUGUGAAUGAAUGUUGAAUGAGCAGCAAUUCAAGUGGGGAAAGAACACAUACACAGGGCUGGGAGCUGUCCUGUUGCUGUGUGUCUAUCUGUCGAUUUCCGGUUUCGAUUUCAUUUGUUGUAGCGCCGUAGCCAAAUGUUGUCUGUUGCCCAAACUUAGUUUCUGUUUUUUGUUGCCUCUUUUCCCAUUCUAUUUGCUGAGUUUUCCAGCGACUAGCAAUGCAUAUUCCCCUUUUGCCGUGUAUUUAUUUAUUUCGUAUUUGUUUGCUGAGCAAAAGCAAAUGCUGCUUCCCUUUCUAUCUUUGUGCAGUUGGAGCAAAGGAUUUGCUUUGCUUUUCUUGACGCUGCUGUCUGCUGUCUGCUGUCUUUGUUGCCUAAUUUUAAAUAUAUUUUAUGUGGCAUGUUUGCUUGCCUUUACAGAAAUCAAAGGGCAAAUAACUACUGAAAAUCUGCCCCCAAAAACACUCCACAAACUCUGAGUAAAACACAUGCCCUGAGCCUUCGUUCAGCAGGGCUAGGGCGCCGAUUAAAUCCACAACAAGCCUCCAAUGAGCCAUCAAGAAACCAUUUACAACAAAUUGACAGAGAUUUGGGCUAACAAUACAAAAGGGGCAAGGGCGAAACUAAACAUUUGCCAUGGCCAUUUAAACUAAUAACCGCUCAAAAAUUACCGACUACACUUGACCACGAAAUGCCCAAGAAAAUAUAAAGGAAGCGCCGGAGCUCGCAGUAAAAUGAAAAGAAAUAGAACAGAGGAAAACUCUCAACAAAUGCCAACAAUUUAUGGGCCACAAAACGGCCAAAUUUACGCUAGUCACGAUUUUGUAAUUUG